UACCAAAUAAGGAAAGAUUCUCAUCACCUAAGUUUCAGUUGGAUAGAAACUUGGAAUCAUGCAAGUUGUAUAGCAUGAUGAAUGAGAACUUUCAAGUAUUGGAAAAUUAAGACUAAUUACUUGUUCACAUGGAUGUGUGAGUCAAGUGAAGGACUAAGGGAUCGAGUACACAUUCUUGUGCACUGGUCAAGUCCACCACAAAAGAUCGAUAAGACUAUUCGUCAUAGUUUACUAAAGCUCAGUAAAUAUGAUUAUACUUACAAGCUUAAGUGUAACUCUGAGACAUUGGAAAAGGUUCCAAUGUAUGGCAAAGCGAAUAAGAAGAAUCAAAUUAGGCAGAAGGAUAAAAGUUUCUCAAAUCUGAAAAGAUGGGAGAGUACUUUAGUAUCAGUUUUGUGAUCAUCUUAAUGAUUAAGAAACCAUAGCACAAUUAGUUCUCUAAGGAAAUCUUAGUGCAUUCUUAUGACUAAGAAGAGGAAUCUUGAAUUGUUGAAAUGGUUAAAUCAAGAAGAUGAGUCAUACUUCGUUCCAAUACAAGUCUUAGAGUCAUACUCCAAGAUUGUAACUUGAGUGACAUGUCUUA
rnacentral:lncRNA from 1 species